UAUAAAACACGAUGAUGCAGUAUUCUAGUCAGUAUCUGCAGUUACCAGGGUGGGGCUAAAAAUCCACCGAAGGGCAUAUCGAUGAAACUUCUUGUGCUUGCUUCUUACGCCCAGUUUGGGGUGGGUGCUGGAAGGUAGGAUGUCGGGCAGCCAUAAUGGCAUAUGGUCUUGUUCCUCCAUCCAUGGAGACCCAAUUAUGUGGUGUUAUUGCGCGCUACGGAUUGGGGUGAAACCUGCAAUGCGGUGUUGUUCCUGCUUCUUUGAGAGGCUUUUCGCAAAAAAACGGGACAGCGCUGUGUGCAGUGUAGCCUGUCUUGAGUGAAUGCCGCGGACUUUGUUCAGAGAGCGGUCCUAUGGCCAUAGGGCGGUUCUUAUUGCGUUGAGAAACGGUGUUUGCAAAAGAGACUAAGAACUGUUGGAUAUUGUUGGGGAAAUCUCCUAGACUGUUUGCGUUGAAGGGAUUGCAGUACGUACUCAGUGGCAGUCAAGUCAGAAUUAUGGCGACAUAGUUUUCGUAGUUUUUUAAGGGAAACCGCUUGGAUGGCGACAACAAGUAAGCUACGGGGAAACCUACUUGACCUAAGACGUAAGAUUAACCUUGAACGUUAUCAUCGUUUGAUUUUU
rnacentral:sRNA from 1 species